UGCCUGCCCCUCCGGCAGCCCACCACCCCCAACAGGAGAGGGACCACUAUCCCUUACCUGGUACCUCGGUGUGAAACUCCUUUGGCCAGAGCCCCGAGUGAAAUGAAAACCUGGGCCCCUCAGCCACAAACCAGAAAUCCGUGCUCAGAGCAAUCAGGAUGGACACCAGGCCCAGGGAGCCAGUGAGUAGGGCCAGGGACCGACAGAGCUCCAUGGAGGUGGGUACUGGGUGUCUGGGUCCUGGGGAUGAAGAGGCUGGUGAUCUGGACUCGGGUCCUCUGAGCUCAAGAAAGAGAAGCCUUUAAGACUUUAAAACCAGGCCAGUUUUGUUUCACUCAGUUCCGGGUAGAUGAGUCUUGCCCUACACCCUCCCUUCCUGGUUGCCCCGACAACAUCCUCCUCCCACAGAGGUCCGGUUCCCCUCACAGUGUGUGGUGGGGAGGGUGUCACAUCAUCAGUGGUUUGGAUGGUGGUUCAGAACUUGCCUCUGUUUUAGGUUCUAUACCUCCCACCCUUGGAACCCUCAACAUCAGAGGAGACUUCCUGGAAGAGGGAUCGGGAUGAGCAGGUGUCAGGUGAAGGUGUGAAGGUGCCACAGCCCAGGUAGAAGGUGCAGGCACAUGUGACCUCUGUGAAUCGGGGAAUGGCCUGGAGGAGGACCUCUGUCACGAAGAUGACCUGAGCCAGCAGUCCCACCACAGCUGGUGAAGGGGAGACCCAGAGUGACUCAAGAGGCCGGCGCCUCUUCCGUUAUUGGAGACUCCAGUUUGCCGGCCCCCAUCUCUCACCCAGACCCUCACCACCGAGAACUGCCUCAGACCCUGGACAGUGAAACCCCUGGACGCCAAGGCUGGACUGAACUUCCCCAGCGGGCAGUCCUCUGUGCAGAUCGUCACACAUUGUUGGUGGACGCGGUGAGCGCUGUCCGUGUGACUCCACUGGGAGAGGACAACUGGAAGCUCACACCUGGUCUGGACGCUGCCUACGAGCCUCUUCCCUUGGCCGAUUUGCAUCUGUAUCCUUUCUGCUAUGAUCAUCUGUAGCCAUGAGCAGAACAGCUUUCCAGUGAUUCCUUCUAGCGAACCGUCGAAACUGAAGGGGGUCUUGGGGGCCCCUGAGCUGCAGUGAGGGAGGGAGGAUUGAGUCAAAGAGUUAGCGGGGAUCUGGAACACGGGGCAUCUUGUAUGACCUUGAUAGACUAGCUUUUCAUUGGAGCUGGGAGCCACUGGGGGGUUUAGAGCUGAGGGGUGACGUGAUUUGAAUCAUGCCUUAACGAAAAUCCCUCUGUGUAGAGAAUGGACUGCUGGGGGAGCAGAAGGAGGGAAGGGGCACUGGCAGAGCCGGUUAGAAGGCUGAGGCCAUAAGCCCAGUGAAACAAGAUCAGGGUGGUAACUGGAUGAGCAAGGAAUCAAAUUCUGGGCACAUUUUUAAAAAUCUUUUUAUUGUUAUGUUAAUCACCAUACAUUA